ACAAAACAGAGUUACACUUUUGUAUGCUGGCAAAACAGAGUUACACAGAAUCCACCUCAUGAAGCACAGCCACGAUUAGUGGCUGUCUGUGGAAAUCCAUCUUGACAGCAUGUGAAUACAGCCAGAAGCCUUCAUUUUCAGGUGUCGGCAGGUGUUUCCUUACUCCUGAUUGAAGACUGCGGCAGGAAGCAAAGGAAAGCCAGAAGACAGGGAAAUGUUGUAGGAUGGCUGGCCAUCCCUGAAGAUGGACCUUGCAGGGGAUGAAAACAACUUCAGUAAUUAUCCAACUGUGUGUAAGGACAAAAUAAUCAAGGAUUUUUGUCUCUGGACUCUAUUCACCAGAUGUUUCAAUAUGGACGGAGAUUUAUCACUUUUUCCCAGACUGUUGUUCAUCUCUUCAAACUUGGGGCUAAACUAAGAACCAAGAUGCCACCACCCAGUCACACAUGUCCCAGAUUUCAUCUGAAAAUUGUUGGAGAAUAUUUAUUCGUUUAAUGUAUUGUCGAAAGCUUCAUGGCCGGAAUAACUGGAUUGUCGGGCUGUAUGGCCAUGUUCUAGAAGCAUUAUCUCCAGACGUUUCAUCUGCAUCUAUGGCAGGCAUCCUGCCACCCUGCACUGCCCUCCUAUACACAAAGCAAUCUUAUUUUGGGGGGCAGGAUACUGUUCUAGGAGGCAUGUUUUUUCUGCCAUGUUUCUGCCCCCCCCAGACUAUUUUAGAUCAAAGAGAGACUUUUAAAAAAAAUAACAUUAAGUAUCUGGAAGUAGUUUCCUGUUUAUUUAAUUCACAUGUGUCAAAUACAGACUGAAUCUGGCCCACCAUGUCACUUUAUGUGGCCCAUGAGGCCUUCAAUGCCAGGGUAACAUAAUUACAUUUACACUGUGCUCCAAUUACAAACAGCCAUUUGAAAGCCACCAUAAGGCUGAUGUGGCCCUCAGUGAAAAUGAGCUUGACACGCUAAUAAUAAUAAUAAUAAUAAUAAUAAUAAUAAUAAUAAUAAUACUUUAUUUGUACCACGCUACCAUCUCCCCAAGGGACUCGGUUCAGCUAACUUAAGAUGUCUGAAAAAGUCUCUUGAGACUGAAAUGGAGGAGAGAAAAAUGUGGUAAAAACUUCUGUCUUAUUAGACAUAAUUCAAAGAUCUUUGAGACUUUUUAAA